UGUCUGUGCACAUACUGACGUGGCUGUAGGUUUUUCCUAGCGCCUUUCCUUCAAAGGGCUCAAAGUGCUCGAGAGAAGUCCUUCCCUGUCAACCUCACCCAUCCUCAUGGAGCCCCUGGGCCAGGAAGGCAAUAUCUCCUUACAGGCACACUGGCUGAUGCACUGGAUAGAGAGAACUAAGCAGGCAUUUCCCCAGGUUCUG
rnacentral:lncRNA from 1 species